CUUUUUAUCUAGACUGUGUCUUUAAAGUGGUGGAAAUGACCAAUUCUGUGUCUUAGGAGGGAGGUGGCAUGAAGCCGGGAAAUGACUGAGGAAGGGAUACUGAUAUGAAAUGAUUUAUUUCUGGAAAAUGCUCUUGUCCCUGGUUCCCUUCACGCCCCCACCCCCAGCCUCAGCUCUGUCUGGGUGGAACGAAUGUCUGCUAAUGAACUAAACAAACAGGUCUCUUAAUCUUAUCAUGGAGCUGACCCAGAGACUGGCACAGAUAUCCAAAGUAUCAUAAUUGGCAGGUCAGAAUUAAAACUACAUGCAUCAUAGUGACUUUAUAGCUGAGGCAAAGUGGAGCUCAAGUGUUACUUUCCCAGUAAACAAAUCAUAAUGAAGUAUCAUGCUGGUGACUAAUUUAACUAACAUUGUCCAGGAAAUUGCUGUUGUCCAGGAAGAAAAGAGUUGAGCUGUGUGUCAGCUACUG
rnacentral:antisense_RNA from 1 species